UACGUAGGGGGCAAGCGUUGUCCGGAGUUACUGGGCGUAAAGCGCACGCAGGCGGUUCCGCGCGUUCGCGGCGACAAUCCCUGGCUUAACCGGGGAACGAUCGCGAAAACGGCGGAACUUGAGAGUGAGAGAGGGACCUGGAACUCCGGGUGGAGCGGUGAAAUGCGUAGAGAUCCGGAAGAACACCACUGGCGAAGGCAAGGUCCUGGCUCAUAUCUGACGCUCAGGUGCGAAAGCCAGGGGAG
rnacentral:rRNA from 1 species